rnacentral:rRNA from 1 species
AUUGAACGCUUGCGGCAGGCCUAACACAUGCAAGUCGAAAGAGUGGCGGACGGGUGAGUAAUGUCUGGGAAACUGCCUGAUGGAGGGGGAUAACUACUGGAAACGGUAGCUAAUACCGCAUACCAUCGGAUGUUCCCAGAUGGGAUUAGCUAUUAGGUGGGGUAACGGCUCACCUAGGCGACGAUCCCUAGCUGGUCUGAGAGGAUGAACAGCCCCACAGGAACUGAGACAUGGUCCAGAAUCCUACGGGAGGCAUCAGUGGAGAAGAGUGCACUAGGGUCGCAAGACUGAUGCAGCCAUGCCGCGGGUAUGAAGAAGGCCUUCGGGGUGUAAAGUACUUUCAGCGGGGAGGCGUUGCCCGAAGAAGAAGCACCGGCUAACUCCGUGCCAGCAGCCGCGGUAAUUC